rnacentral:lncRNA from 1 species
GGAACAGACCUACCACACAGGUUCGCAUGUAACGAUUGAGACUGAACUGCUCGACCCCAGUAAGUUUUCCAGCCUCACCAAAUUAUACCGCACGACGGCUUGGAUCAAGCGUUUUGUUGGGAACUGUAGAUUGUCAAAAGAAUCCAGAAACAUUACUAAAAUUCUUCAACCAGACGAGAUGAAGAAAGCAGAACGAUUUUGGUUAGGACAAGCACAGAUUGAUGCAUUUCCCGAUGGAGAAAAGGACAAAAGAUUACUUCACUUCAAUCCUAAACGAGAUGAGGAAGGACUUCUCAGAGCUGACGGUCGCCUUCGAUUCGCCAGAGAACUUCCAUACGACACCAGACACCCUAUAUUGCUACCAAAAGAUCAUCCUGUGACCAAGCUGAUUAUCGUUGACGCUCAUAAAAAACGUGGUCAUGGAACGGGUGUGGAACAUCUACUUACGGAGUUACGUUCAAAGUAUUGGGUGAUAAAAGGAAGACGAGCUGUUAGAAACGUGGUUGAGACCUGCCCUGGCUGUCGGCGACGAUUUGCUACGAAGCAACCUGGGCAAAUGAUGGCACCACUCCCGGGAGUAAGAGUAAAAUUGCCAUUAAAGGCAUUCGACAGAAUUGGAGUGGAUUACGCUGGGCCGUUUCGCACAAAACAAGGAAGAGGAAAACCGAGAGCGAAGAGGUAUCUAUGCCUUUUCACGUGUUUGGCAACAAGAGCGGUUCACUUGGAAAUGAGCUAUUCCUUAGACACUGAUUCAUUCUUAAAUGCCUUCACACGGAUGACAUCAAGGAGGGGGAUGCCAUCUUAUGUGGUGUCUGACAACGGUGGAAAUUUCGUGUCUGGCGAGAAAGAGAUACGUGAGUUAGUUUCUCAGUUUGACCAAGAGAAGAUAAUCAACGAAACAUCAAGAAUGAAACCAAUUGAGUGGAAGUUUAAUCCACCUGCGUCACCACACUUUGGGGGUAUCUUCGAGUCCAUGAUCAAAAGUUCCAAAAAGGCUUUAAGAACAAUUCUCGGAGAUGCAGAAGUUAAUGAUGAAGAAUUACAUACUGCAAUUUGCGGUGCUGAACGGUUGUUAAACUCUAGACCAAUAACGUAUGUCAGUUCUGAUGUUAAUGACUUGGCACCUUUAACACCGAGUCAUUUCCUGGUUGGGCAGUUAGGAGGAGACCUCGCACCUGAAGUACCUGAAAAUGAAACGGUGAACCCGAAGAAGCGAUGGCGUAGAAUUCAGCAGUUACUUGGUCAGUUUUGGAGAAGAUGGAGAAGGGAAUUUUUACCAAGUUUGAGUGCUCGAGGAAAGUGGUUUCAGAAGAGAAAAAAUUUAAAAGAAGGUGAUGUAGUACUCCUUAUAGAACCAAAUGCUAAGCGUGGAGAGUGGCCUCUUGCUCGCGUAGUGGAAGCACAUCCUGGCAAAGACGGAUUGGUAAGAGUCGUGAAAAUACAGAUUGGUGAUAGUACUUAUCUACGACCGGUACACCACUUGAGCCCAUUAGAAGUCGAGGGAGCUGAAGACUAGACUGGACAGGAAUUGUUUAGAUUAUGUUUGACGUUAAAAAUUGUCUUAUGAUGACAAAUGUUAGCACAUUCGGGAGGGGGAUGUUUCUGAAUAUAUUAACUUAAAGUUAUGACGUAAUAUAAAUUUGACCGAGCAAAAAGACUGGCGAGAGAGGACGGUUGUCAUGG